GUCUAUAGCCAUGCCACCCUGAGCAAGCCCGAUCUCGUCUGAUUUUGGAAGCUAAGCAGGAUCAGGCCUGGUUAGUACUUGGAUAGCAGACCAUUUAGGAAGACCAGGUGCUGUAGGCA
rnacentral:rRNA from 1 species